AUUGAACGCUGGCGGCAUGCCUUACACAUGCAAGUCGAACGGCAGCACGGGUGCUUGCACCUGGUGGCGAGUGGCGAACGGGUGAGUAAUAUAUCGGAACGUGCCCUAGAGUGGGGGAUAACGUAGCGAAAGUUACGCUAAUACCGCAUACGAUCUAAGGAUGAAAGUGGGGGAUCGCAAGACCUCAUGCUCAUGGAGCGGCCGAUAUCUGAUUAGCUGGUUGGUGGGGUAAUAGCCCACCAAGGCGACGAUCAGUAGCUGGUCUGAGAGGACGACCAGCCACACUGGGACUGAGACACGGCCCAGACUCCUACGGGAGGCAGCAGUGGGGAAUUUUCCACAAUGGGCGAAAGCCUGAUGGAGCAACGCCGCGUGCAGGAUGAAGGCCCUUGGGUCGUAAACUGCUUUUANGUGCGAGAAUAUGACCGGUAA
rnacentral:rRNA from 1 species